rnacentral:rRNA from 1 species
CCGGCCACAAGCGGAGGAGCAUGUGGUUUAAUUCGAUGAUACGCGAGGAACCUACCUGGGCUCGAACGUAAGAUGACUGUAGGUGAAAGCUUACAUCUCUUCGGAGCAUUUUACGAGGUGCUGCAUGGUUGUCGUCAGCUCGUGCCGUGAGGUGUCGGGUUAAGUCCCAUAACGAGCGCAACCCCUACCUUUAGUUGCCAUCAGGUUAAGCUGGGGACUCUAAAGGAACUGCCUACGCAAGUAGUGAGGAAGGCGGGGAUGACGUCAAAUCAGCACGGCCCUUACGUCCAGGGCUACACACGUGCUACAAUGGCCGAUACAGAGGGCAGCUACCUGGUGACAGGAUGCAAAUCUCCAAAGUCGGUCUCAGUUCGGAUCGGAGUCUGCAACCCGACUCCGUGAAGUUGGAUUCGCUAGUAAUCGCGCAUCAGCCAUGGCGCGGUGAAUACGUUCCCGGGCCUU